rnacentral:ncRNA from 2 species
CUCUUAUCAAGAGCGGUGGAGGGACUGGCCCUGUGAAGCCGCGGCAACCGGCAGCAAUGCGUCUGGUGCCAAAUCCAGCAGAAUCUUCGGAUUCUGGAAGAUGAGAG